rnacentral:lncRNA from 1 species
GGAGCAUCCAGUGGCUACCAUCGGUUCCCUUCAUUGACCUAGGCACCGUGCAGGCACAAUUGUCAACACAGCACCUUCUGACCGGGCAGGUGAGGCAAGCAAAGCAGGCAGAGACCAGAGCAUCUCCAAACCAUACAAUAGAGCACCUCCAAACCAUACAAGAGCACCUCCAAACCAUACAACAGAGCACCUCCAAACCAUACAACAGAGCACCUCCAAACCAUACAAGAGCACCUCCAAACCAUACAACAGAGCACCUCCAAACCAUACAAGACCACCUCCAAACCAUACAAGACCACCUCCAAACCAUACAAGACCACCUCCAAACCAUACAACAGAGCACCUCCAAACCAUACAAGAGCACCUCCAAACCAUACAAGAGCACCUCCAAACCAUACAAGAGCACCUCCAAACCAUACAAGAGCACCUCCAAACCAUACAAGACCACCUCCAAACCAUACAAGACCACCUCCAAACCAUACAACAGAGCACCUCCAAACCAUACAAUAGAGCACCUCCAAACCAUACAAGAGCACCUCCAAACCAUACAAGAGCACCUCCAAACCAUACAACAGAGCACCUCCAAACCAUACAACAGAGCACCUCCAAACCAUACAA